CUGGAGGUAUCAGAAGUGCGAAUGCUGACAUAAGUAACGAUAAAGCGGGUGAAAAGCCCGCUCGCCGGAAGACCAAGGGUUCCUGUCCAACGUUAAUCGGGGCAGGGUGAGUCGACCCCUAAGGCGAGGCCGAAAGGCGUAGUCGAUGGGAAACAGGUUAAUAUUCCUGUACUUGGUGUUACUGCGAAGGGGGGACGGAGAAGGCUAUGUUGGCCGGGCGACGGUUGUCCCGGUUUAAGCGUGUAGGCUGGUUUUCCAGGCAAAUCCGGAAAAUCAAGGCUGAGGCGUGAUGACGAGGCACUACGGUGCUGAAGCAACAAAUGCCCUGCUUCCAGGAAAAGCCUCUAAGCAUCAGGUAACAUCAAAUCGUACCCCAAACCGACACAGGUGGUCAGGUAGAGAAUACCAAGGCGCUUGAGAGAACUCGGGUGAAGGAACUAGGCAAAAUGGUGCCGUAACUUCGGGAGAAGGCACGCUGAUAUGUAGGUGAAGUCCCUCGCGGAUGGAGCUGAAAUCAGUCGAAGAUACCAGCUGGCUGCAACUGUUUAUUAAAAACACAGCACUGUGCAAACACGAAAGUGGACGUAUACGGUGUGACGCCUGCCCGGUGCCGGAAGGUUAAUUGAUGGGGUUAGCGCAAGCGAAGCUCUUGAUCGAAGCCCCGGUAAACGGCGGCCGUAACUAUAACGGUCCUAAGGUAGCGAAAUUCCUUGUCGGGUAAGUUCCGACCUGCACGAAUGGCGUAAUGAUGGCCAGGCUGUCUCCACCCGAGACUCAGUGAAAUUGAACUCGCUGUGAAGAUGCAGUGUACCCGCGGCAAGACGGAAAGACCCCGUGAACCUUUACUAUAGCUUGACACUGAACAUUGAGCCUUGAUGUGUAGGAUAGGUGGGAGGCUUUGAAGUGUGGACGCCAGUCUGCAUGGAGCCGACCUUGAAAUACCACCCUUUAAUGUUUGAUGUUCUAACGUUGACCCGUAAUCCGGGUUGCGGACAGUGUCUGGUGGGUAGUUUGACUGGGGCGGUCUCCUCCUAAAGAGUAACGGAGGAGCACGAAGGUUGGCUAAUCCUGGUCGGACAUCAGGAGGUUAGUGCAAUGGCAUAAGCCAGCUUGACUGCGAGCGUGACGGCGCGAGCAGGUGCGAAAGCAGGUCAUAGUGAUCCGGUGGUUCUGAAUGGAAGGGCCAUCGCUCAACGGAUAAAAGGUACUCCGGGGAUAACAGGCUGAUACCGCCCAAGAGUUCAUAUCGACGGCGGUGUUUGGCACCUCGAUGUCGGCUCAUCACAUCCUGGGGCUGAAGUAGGUCCCAAGGGUAUGGCUGUUCGCCAUUUAAAGUGGUACGCGAGCUGGGUUUAGAACGUCGUGAGACAGUUCGGUCCCUAUCUGCCGUGGGCGCUGGAGAACUGAGGGGGGCUGCUCCUAGUACGAGAGGACCGGAGUGGACGCAUCACUGGUGUUCGGGUUGUCAUGCCAAUGGCACUGCCCGGUAGCUAAAUGCGGAAGAGAUAAGUGCUGAAAGCAUCUAAGCACGAAACUUGCCCCGAGAUGAGUUCUCCCUGACCCUUUAAGGGUCCUGAAGGAACGUUGAAGACGACGACGUUGAUAGGCCGGGUGUGUAAGCGCAGCGAUGCGUUGAGCUAACCGGUACUAAUGAACCGUGAG
rnacentral:rRNA from 1 species